GGAGGUUCGCCGGGAACUCGCCGGAGAAGACGACCGGUCAACUGUAGCGAACCAGUCAACUCACUGAAAUUGCAGAUUGGUCCCUCAACUUUCAAAAAUUACAGUUUUGCCCAUAUAGUGGAAUUUCAGUUACGAAGUGUCAAUUCCACCAUUUUCGACCGCUCCGGACGCAACGGUGAACUCCGUGUUUAAAGAUUCAACCCCGAUCGUGUUGAAAAAUUAUUU
rnacentral:lncRNA from 1 species